rnacentral:rRNA from 1 species
AUGACUCUCGGCAACGGAUAUCUCGGCUCUUGCAUCGAUGAAGAACGUAGCGAAAUGCGAUACUUGGUGUGAAUUGCAGAAUCCCGUGAACCAUCGAGUCUUUGAACGCAAGUUGCGCCCGAAGCCAUUAGGCCGAGGGCACGCCUGCCUGGGUGUCACAC